rnacentral:rRNA from 1 species
UACGUAGGGACCAAGCGUUGUUCGGAUUUACUGGGCGUAAAGGGCGCGUAGGCGGCCUACUAAGUCAGACGUGAAAUCCCCCGGCUUAACCUGGGAACUGCGUCUGAUACUGGGAGGCUUGAGUAUGGGAGAGGGAUGUAGAAUUCCAGGUGUAGCGGUGAAAUGCGUAGAUAUCUGGAGGAAUACCGGUGGCGAAGGCGGCAUCCUGGACCAUAACUGACGCUGAGGCGCGAAAGCUAGGGGAGCAAACGGG